CACGAAGGAUUCGAGCGUUAUCCGGAUUUAUUGGGUUUAAAGGGUGCGUAGGUGGAUUAAUAAGUCAGUGGUGAAAGCCCGGAGCUCAACUCCGGAACUGCCAUUGACACUGUUAGUCUUGAGUACAGUUGAGGUGGGCGGAAUGUGUCAUGUAGCGGUGAAAUGCUUAGAUAUGACACAGAACACCGAUUGCGAAGGCAGCUCACUAAGCUGUAACUGACACUGAGGCACGAAAGUGUGGGUAGCAAACAGG
rnacentral:rRNA from 1 species